CUCUCUGCAUCUUCAGUUUCUCUAAGUCACAGACUCAUUGUUACCAUCCUCUCUGUCGCUCAGUAUCCUUCUCCUUACAGAUAAUGGCGGUCGUGGGACAACAACAGAGGAGGAGCAUCCCAUCUACUCUAUUCUCUCUCUCUCUGAACCGUGAUGCCUCCUCUCUGUCAUGUGACGAAGUGACGCCUCCUCUCUGUUCUGGUUUCAGAGAAAGACUAGAGCAAUAGCGUAAGCUUGGAGAAUCAGAGCAAGGUGGGAGAAGACAGAGCAACGGCGUCGGAGAAGACCGAGCAGCGGCGUCGGGGAAGACAGAGCAGGGGCGGCGUUGGGGUAGACAGAGAUGGUCGCGAGCAGAGAUGGUGGUGCGGCGGGUGAGGACUGGAAGAUGAAGAA